GAUGAACGCUGGCGGCGUGCUUAACACAUGCAAGUCGAACGAUGAAGCUCAGCUUGCUGGGUGGAUUAGUGGCGAACGGGUGAGUAACACGUGAGUAACCUGCCCUUAACUCUGGGAUAAGCCUGGGAAACUAGGUCUAAUACCGGAUAGGAGCGUCCACCGCACGGUGGGUGUUGGAAAGAUUUAUCGGUUUUGGAUGGACUCGCGGCCUAUCAGCUUGUUGGUGAGGUAAUGGCUCACCAAGGCGACGACGGGUAGCCGGCCUGAGAGGGUGACCGGCCACACUGGGACUGAGACACGGCCCAGACUCCUACGGGAGGCAGCAGUGGGGAAUAUUGCACAAUGGGCGAAAGCCUGAUGCAGCGACGCCGCGUGAGGGAUGACGGCCUUCGGGUUGUAAACCUCUUUCAGUAGGGAAGAAGCGAAAGUGACGGUACCUGCAGAAGAAGCACCGGCUAACUACGUG
rnacentral:rRNA from 1 species